AUGACAAAAUUGGAGACUCAGUUCCUCUAACAGUGCAGGCAUGGCAUGGCAUGGCGAGCAGCGGUGCUGGCUUCUCACACUGCCCUGCCAAUGUACCUCAGUGCUGACUUACACCUCCUGGGCUGAAUAUCCCUCCUGUUCAGUCCUUGGAGACU
rnacentral:sRNA from 1 species